rnacentral:rRNA from 1 species
AGAGUUUGAUCCUGGCUCAGAUUGAACGCUGGCGGCAGGCCUAACACAUGCAAGUCGAGCGGUAGAGAGAAGCUUGCUUCUCUUGAGAGCGGCGGACGGGUGAGUAAUGCCUAGGAAUCUGCCUGGUAGUGGGGGAUAACGUUCGGAAACGGACGCUAAUACCGCAUACGUCCUACGGGAGAAAGCAGGGGACCUUCGGGCCUUGCGCUAUCAGAUGAGCCUAGGUCGGAUUAGCUAGUUGGUGAGGUAAUGGCUCACCAAGGCGACGAUCCGUAACUGGUCUGAGAGGAUGAUCAGUCACACUGGAACUGAGACACGGUCCAGACUCCUACGGGAGGCAGCAGUGGGGAAUAUUGGACAAUGGGCGAAAGCCUGAUCCAGCCAUGCCGCGUGUGUGAAGAAGGUCUUCGGAUUGUAAAGCACUUUAAGUUGGGAGGAAGGGCAGUAAAUUAAUACUUUGCUGUUUUGACGUUACCGACAGAAUAAGCACCGGCUAACUCUGUGCCAGCAGCCGCGGUAAUACAGAGGGUGCAAGCGUUAAUCGGAAUUACUGGGCGUAAAGCGCGCGUAGGUGGUUUGUUAAGUUGGAUGUGAAAUCCCCGGGCUCAACCUGGGAACUGCAUUCAAAACUGACUGACUAGAGUAUGGUAGAGGGUGGUGGAAUUUCCUGUGUAGCGGUGAAAUGCGUAGAUAUAGGAAGGAACACCAGUGGCGAAGGCGACCACCUGGACUAAUACUGACACUGAGGUGCGAAAGUGUGGGGAGCAAACAGGAUUAGAUACCCUGGUAGUCCACGCCGUAAACGAUGUCAACUAGCCGUUGGAAGCCUUGAGCUUUUAGUGGCGCAGCUAACGCAUUAAGUUGACCGCCUGGGGAGUACGGCCGCAAGGUUAAAACUCAAAUGAAUUGACGGGGGCCCGCACAAGCGGUGGAGCAUGUGGUUUAAUUCGAAGCAACGCGAAGAACCUUACCAGGCCUUGACAUCCAAUGAACUUUCUAGAGAUAGAUUGGUGCCUUCGGGAACAUUGAGACAGGUGCUGCAUGGCUGUCGUCAGCUCGUGUAGUGAGAUGUUGGGUUAAGUCCCGUAACGAGCGCAACCCUUGUCCUUAGUUACCAGCACGUCAUGGUGGGCACUCUAAGGAGACUGCCGGUGACAAACCGGAGGAAGGUGGGGAUGACGUCAAGUCAUCAUGGCCCUUACGGCCUGGGCUACACACGUGCUACAAUGGUCGGUACAGAGGGUUGCCAAGCCGCGAGGUGGAGCUAAUCCCACAAAACCGAUCGUAGUCCGGAUCGCAGUCUGCAACUCGACUGCGUGAAGUCGGAAUCGCUAGUAAUCGCGAAUCAGAAUGUCGCGGUGAAUACGUUCCCGGGCCUGCACUCAACGCCCGUC